GGAAGUAAAAGUCGUAACGAGGUUUCCGUAGGUGAACCUGCGGAAGGAUCAUUAUUGUAUAACCGAGGUGCGAGGGCUGUCGCUGACCCGAAAGGUCGUGCACGCCCGAGUGCCCUCACACACAUCCACCUCACCCCUAUGUGCACCACCGCGUGGGUCCCCCUUUGGCGUGUUCGGAGGGGGGCUUACGUUUUCACACAAACUUUGUAUGCAGUGUAGAAUGUAUUUUUUGUUUUUGCGAUCACGCAAUCAAUACAACUUUCAACAACGGAUCUCUUGGCUCUC
rnacentral:misc_RNA from 1 species